rfam:Candidatus Caldiarchaeum subterraneum DNA, complete genome, from subsurface mine microbial mat.
GGGCCCGUGGCGCAGAAUGGAUAGCGCGGCGGCCUCCUAAGCCGUAGGUCGUGAGCAGAGGCACAGAAGUGCUCCGCCGAUAGGGUUCAAGUCCCACCGGGCCCG